rnacentral:lncRNA from 1 species
GGUCAGGAGUUUGAGACCAGCCCUGACCAACGUGGAGAAACCCCGUCUCUACUAAAAAUACAAAAUUAGCCAGGCGUGGUGGCGCAGCUACUCGGGAGGCUGAGGCAGGAGAAUCGCUUGAACCCGGGAGGCGGAGGUUGCGGUGAGCUGAGAUUGUGCCAUUGCACUCCAGCCUGGGCAACAAGAGUGAAACUCCGUCUGAAAAAAAAAAAACCUCUAUAACAUCCAAAAUACUAACCACUUGUUACCUCUAGAUUGUUUGGGGAUGUUAGAUUUCUCCUUUGUUGCCAGCUCUUUUAUUUUUAUUUAUUUAUUUAUUAUUAUUAUUAUUAUUAUUAUUAUUAUUAUUAUUUUGAGAUGGAGUCUUGUUCUGUUGCCCAGGAUGGAGUGCAGUGGUGUGAUCUCGGCUCACUGCAACCUCCGCCUCCUGGGUUUGAGCAAUUCUCCUGCCUCAGCCUCCCGAGUAGCUGGGACUACACGCGUGUGCCACCACGCCAGGCUAAUUUUUGUAUUUUUAGUAGAGACGGGGUUUUGCCAUGUUGGCCAGGAUGGUCAGGAACUCCCCAACUCUUAUUUUUAAAUGUUGGGCCACACAAGUCUGGGAAAUGUUAGUUUUCAAACACAUCAGGGAAUAAAUGGAUACAAAAGUCUUGAGGACCACUUAAGAAAUGAACAAUAGCAGAUGUGUAACAGUUAUACUACGCUGCUACCUUGUAAAACAUUUUAGAAACAUCUGUUUCCAGCCGGGCCUGGUGGCUCACGCCUGUGAUACCAGCACUUUGGGAGGCUGAGGUGGGCAGAUCAUGAGGUCAGGAGUUCGAGACCAGCCUGGCCAACCUAGUGAACCCUCAUCUCUACUAAAACUACAAAAAAUUAGCCAGGUGUGGUGGCGGGCGCCUGUAAUCCCAGCUACUUGGGAGGCUGAGGCAGGAGAAUCGCUUGAACCUGGGAGGCGGAGGUUGCAGUGAACUGAGAUCGUGCCAUUGCACUCCAGCCUGGGCAGCAAGAGCCAAACUCUGUCUCGAAAAAAUAAAAUAAAUGGGAUCACACGCUGUGUGUCCUUCUGUGUCUGGCGUCUCUCACGGAGCGUGACGUCCUUAAGGUGCAUCCGCGCUGUGGCCUGGGUCAGAGCCUGG